UGGGCACUCUGCGGAGACUGCCGGUGAUAAACCGGAGGAAGGUGGGGAUGACGUCAAGUCAGCAUGGCCUUUAUGUCUGGGGCUACACACGUGCUACAAUGGCCGGUACAAACCGUCGCGAUCUCGCARGAGGGAGCUAAUCSGARAAAGCCGGUCUCAGUUCGGAUUGCAGGCUGCAACUCGCCUGCAUGAAGUUGGAAUCGCUAGUAAUCGCGGAUCAGCACGCCGCGGUGAAUACGUUCCCGGGCCU
rnacentral:rRNA from 1 species